CAUCUGAGAGAGCGAGGGAAGGGAGGGAGGCGCCCUCCAUGGGGACUCUGCAUGCACCAUCCUCGCCCCAUCCAGCUCGUCAGCAUCUUGGGUGUGAGCAGGCGUACACCUGCGUGUUUUCAGGCCAACUCAAGCAUCUGAACUCAUGGUCAGCUGUGUAGUGUCCACACCGCCCUACCCUUCCUUAGUCCUGUUCACCCUGUCUUCAGUGUCCUCAGUGCUCCGGUCCCAGGUAGCUAUGAGGAACUGAACCGGAAGACCAGGCUCUUGAUUAUGCGUUUCAAUCUCAUUAAAGCGAAACCAUUCCAGAAAUAUUUACACUAUACAGGGAAACAGCUGGGAGCUAAAUGCCUUCGCUCAGCUCAAGAAACCGAACCUAACAGGAUCUCAGUUGCUGAGGCAGAAAGAUGAGGCACGGGCAGAUAUUUCUGCUCCCUACUCUGACGUUUUCCCCAAAGAUGGGAAGAAGGAUGUCCGGGAAGAACAAUGGGCCAGCUGCUGGACUUGAAUUUGGAAACACCAAUGAAGGAGGAAACUGCUACUGGGGCGUGAGUGAAUUUGUUCAAGCUAUGCCACCUUGUCCUCCCAGGGGCCACUCGAAGUCUGAGUCAGUGGCAAGGAUGGAAACAUCGAGGCUCUAUUGAGGAGGUGGAAAUCCAAGCAGGAGUCAGGUGGUCCCAGUGCAGCUCUUAGGCCCUGCACAGAGGGGCCUGGAGCUCACAUGGCCAACAGCGGCUGAAGCCCUGGUCCCAUCAGCUGGAGAAACACACUGGCAGAUUUUGGUAUCCCUUCCCCGGACUGCUAGCAGAAAGUCUGAUUUCCUCAAUUUUCCAAGGUACGGCGGGGAGCGCGGGGAGAGGGCGCCGACGGCUCAGCCAGCAGCAGAAACGAAGAGGACAGACGGAAAGGGGACUUUUAUUUUUUUUAAGAGGCUUUUCUUUUGGUGGAAAUGUGGUUGCUUUGGUUGACAAAGCUAAUGCGGUCACAGUUGUGCCUCUUUGCUCCGGGAGUUUUAUUUUGCCUGAACCACACUGUUCCUUGACCCUUCCUUUCGUAAUCUCACCGGCCAGAGGCUGUCUUGUUUCCAGUCUUGCUUCAGUGGUUCCUGAAAGCACUUUCUGAGGGCAGAGGGGUAGGAGUCAAGCGAGGAGGGGUGGAGAGUCGUUUGCAUGCUGGAUGGGAUCUGCUUGAGCUGAUCCAUGCAAGAAAACCUGGAUUCUCAUCUACGCUCUUCGCACCCAUCCCUGAGCUGGCUCUGGAGACAGGUGCUGGACACCGCAGGGUGCCCCGCCUUCACAGCCAUCACCAGCCCAACCAGGCAGCAGUGCUUGCACGGCCUGGGUCACCUGUCAGUCAGGACAAGUCAGAGGUGCUGUGCUUUCUGAACACUGCUCAUCUGAGUCACACAGAACUCACUCCUGGCCACGGGCGGGAGGUCAAAAGAUUGAAUGUGACCUCGGGGUUAUUUGGCGCAGACCCUUGACCGUAUCCAACAGACAUGGACAAUCACUUAUGGAGGGGCCAGAUGGGGGUACAGCCGAAACGGAGCAGGCUGUGAGGCUGACCCACACGGAGUCUCUGGGUUCGGGUCUGGGAACCUCCCUGAACACACUGGCUGUGAGUGUGCCCCUAAUCUGGGGCUGCCUGAAGC